rnacentral:rRNA from 1 species
AGUGAACGCUGGCGGUAGGCCUAACACAUGCAAGUCGAACGGCAGCACAGUAAGAGCUUGCUCUUACGGGUGGCGAGUGGCGGACGGGUGAGGAAUACAUCGGAAUCUACUUUUUCGUGGGGGAUAACGUAGGGAAACUUACGCUAAUACCUCAUAUGACCUACGGGUGAAAGCAGUGGAUCUUCGCACCUUUGGCGUCUGAAUGAGCCGAUGUCGGAUUAGCUAGUUGGCGGGGUAAAGGCCCACCAAGGCGACGAUCCGUAGCUGGUCUAAGAGGAUGAUCAGCCACACUGGAACUGAGACACGGUCCAGACUCCUACGGGAGGCAGCAGUGGGGAAUAUUGGACAAUGGGCGCAAGCCUGAUCCAGCCAUACCGCGUGGGUGAAGAAGGCCUUCGGGUUGUAAAGCCCUUUUGUUGGGAAAGAAAAGCAGCAGGUUAAUACCCCGCUGUUCUGACGGUACCCAAAGAAUAAGCACCGGCUAACUUCGUG